rnacentral:rRNA from 1 species
UGAAAGUCCUUCGGGAUGAGUAAAGCGGCGCACGGGCUGAGUAAUACAUAGGAACGUACCUUCCAGGUGGGGAAUAACCACGGGAAACUGUGGCUAACACCGCAUGGUCUCGAGAGAGUAAAGCAGGCCUCUAUUUAUAAGCUUGCGCUGGAAGAGCGGCCUAUGUCCCAUUAGCUAGUUGGUAGGGUAAUGGCCUACCAAGGCGACGAUGGGUAGCUGGUCUGAGAGGAUGAUCAGCCACACUGGGACUGAGACACGGCCCAGACUCCUACGGGAGGCAGCAGUAGGGAAUUUUGCACAAUGGGCGCAAGCCUGAUGCAGCAAUGCCGCGUGAGUGAAGAAGGCUCUUGGGUUGUAAAGCUCUUUCGGCUGGGAAGAUGGGACUGCCUGCGAACAGUUGGCAGUUUUGACGGUACCAGAAGAAGAAGCACCUGCUAACUACGUGCCAGCAGCAGCGGUAAUACGUAGGGUGCAAGCGUUGUUCGGAAUUACUGGGCGUAAAGCGCGCGUAGGCGGGUUAGAAAGUCGAUUGUGAAAGCCCUGGGCUUACCUGGGAACUGCAGUCGAAACUCCUAAUCUUGAGUGCCUGAGAGGAUGGCGGAAUUCCCGGUGUAGUAGUGAAAU